CACAAUUAUGUCUUUUUAGGUGUUGCAGAAUGAUUUAGACAUCUUGCGGUCGUAGGUUGGUUUGUAGGUUGGCUUAAUUGAUAGUGAUCCUUAAACUUUGCAGUUUCAACCUAACAAUGAAAAGUUUCUCAAAGAUCCUAUAUGUGUUAAUUACCAAGUAUCCUCCAACUGCAUCUA